rnacentral:rRNA from 1 species
UAGAGUUUGAUCCUGGCUCAGAGCGAACGUUAGCGGCGCGCCUAACACAUGCAAGUCGCACGAGAAAGGGGGCAACCCCCGGUACAGUGGCGCACGGGUGAGUAACACGUGGAUUACCUCCCCUGGAGUGGUGGAUAACCUGUCGAAAGACGGGCUAAUACAGCAUGAGACCACGCAGUUUCGACUGUGGGGUCAAAGCGGGCCUCUGUUCACAAGCUCGCGCUCUGGGAUGGGUCCGCGCCCCAUCAGCUAGUUGGUAGGGUAACGGCCUACCAAGGCAACGACGGGUAGCUGGUCUGAGAGGAUGAUCAGCCACACUGGAACUGAGACACGGUCCAGACUCCUACGGGAGGCAGCAGUGGGGAAUCUUGCGCAAUGGGCGAAAGCCUGACGCAGCGACGCCGCGUGGGUGACGAAGGCCUUCGGGUUGUAAAGCCCUGUGGGGGGAGACGAACCGGCUCAUGGCUAACAUCCAUGGGCCCUGACGGUAUCCCUUUAGCAAGCAUCGGCUAACUCUGUGCCAGCAGCCGCGGUAAGACAGAGGAUGCAAACGUUGCUCGGAAUUACUGGGCGUAAAGCGCGCGCAGGUGGUUCGGUAAGUCGGGUGUGAAAUCCCGGGGCUCAACCUCGGACGUGCACACGAUACUGCCGGACUCGAGUACUGGAGAGGAGAGCGGAAUUCCCGGUGUAGAGGUGAAAUUCGUAGAUAUCGGGAGGAACACCAGUGGCGAAGGCGGCUCUCUGGACAGAUACUGACACUGAGGCGCGAAAGCGUGGGAAGCAAACAGGAUUAGAUACCCUGGUAGUCCACGCUGUAAACGAUGACGACUGGGUGUUUCGGGUAUUGACCCC